rnacentral:rRNA from 1 species
AACGAACGCUGGCGGCAUGCCUAACACAUGCAAGUCGAACGAUGCUUUCGGGCAUAGUGGCGCACGGGUGCGUCACGCGUGGGAAUCUGCCCUUGUGUUCGGAAUAACAGUGAGAAAUUGCUGCUAAUACCGGAUGAUGUCUUCUGACCAAAGAUUUAUCGCCCAGGGAUGAGCCCGCGUAGUAUUAGCUAGUUGGUGGGGUAAUGGCCUACCAAGGCGACGAUCCUUAGCUGGGCUGAGAGGAUGAUCAGCCACACUGGGACUGAGACACGGCCCAGACUCUUACGGGAGGCAGCAGUGGGGAAUAUUGGACAAUGGGGGCAAGGCUGAUCCAGCAAGGCCGCGUGAGUGAUGAAGGCCUUAGGGUAGUAAAGCUCUUUUACCCGGGAUGAUACUGACAGUACCGGGAGAAUAAGCACCGGCUAACUCCGUG